GAUGAACGCUGGCGGCGCGCCUAACACAUGCAAGUCGAACGGUGACGAGGACUUCGGUCCUCUGAUCAGUGGCGGACGGGUGAGUAACGCGUGAGUAACCUGCCCUUAUGAGUGGAAUAACGUCUGGAAACGGACGCUAAUACCGCAUAAUGCAUCGGGAAGACAUCUUCCUGAUGCCAAAGAUUUAUCGCAUAAGGAUGGACUCGCGUCUGAUUAGAUAGUUGGUGGGGUAACGGCCUACCAAGUCGACGAUCAGUAGCCGGACUGAGAGGUUGAACGGCCACAUUGGAACUGAGAAACGGUCCAGACUCCUACGGGAGGCAGCAGUGGGGAAUAUUGGGCAAUGGAGGCAACUCUGACCCAGCGACGCCGCGUGAGCGAUGAAGUAUUUCGGUAUGUAAAGCUCUAUCAGCAGGGAAGAAAAAUAACCAAAUUGACUGUACCUGACUAAGAAGCCCCGGCUAACUACGUGCCAGCCGCCGCUGUAACAC
rnacentral:rRNA from 1 species